UUUAAAAAGUUUUGACUAAGGCUUCUCAGUAGAUAGUUUUCCCACAUACGGAAGAACAAAUUUUAAGAGCAAAACUGGCAUGGGCAAACGAAAGAGGCUUUCCCUGUACAAUAGGAGCUAUUGAUUGCACCCAAAUAAGAAUCGAUAAACCCUAUGGAGAAUUUGGUGAUGAGUUUAUUAAUAGAAAAGGCUUUGCUUCAAUCAAUGUACAAGCAACUGUAAAUGAAAAGGCUAUAUUCACCAGUGUUGAUGUUAGUUGGCCCGGAUCUGUUUAUGACUCAAGAAUAUUUAAAAACUCUAAUAUAUAUUCACUAUUAAAAGGUUUGGAAAAUAGAGGAUAUCUUCUAGGAGAUGCAGGGUAUGGUAUAACCCCAUUUUUGAUGACUCCAUUUGAAAAUGCUCAAACAGAACUUGAAAAGAAUUUUAACAAAAAACAUGCUAAAAACAGAGUAAUUG